rnacentral:rRNA from 1 species
UACGUAGGGUGCGAGCGUUGUCCGGAAUUAUUGGGCGGAAAGGGCUCGUAGGCGGUUUGUCCCGUCGGGAGUGAAAACUCAGGGCUCAACCCUGAGCCUGCUUCCGAUACGGGCAGACUAGAGGUAUGCAGGGGAGAACGGAAUUCCUGGUGUAGCGGUGAAAUGCGUAGAUAUCUGGAGGAACACCGGUGGCGAAGGCGGCAUCCAGGACCGGUAUUGACGCUGAGGCGCGAAAGCCAGGGGAGCAAACGGG